rnacentral:rRNA from 1 species
GGGCCCGCACAAGCGGUGGAGCAUGUGGUUUAAUUCGAUGAUACGCGAGGAACCUUACCAGGGCUUAAAUGUAGAACGACCGAUUUGGAAACAAGUCUUCUCUUUGAGCGGUCUACAAGGUGCUGCAUGGUUGUCGUCAGCUCGUGCCGUGAGGUGUCGGGUUAAGUCCCUUAACGAGCGCAACCCCUAUCUCUAGUUGCCAGCGGAUAAUGCCGGGGACUCUAGAGAAACUGCCCGUGCAAACGGUGAGGAAGGUGGGGAUGACGUCAAAUCAUCACGGCCCUUACGUCCUGGGCUACACACGUGCUACAAUGGUCGGUACAGAGGGCAGCUACCACGUGAGUGGAUGCAAAUCUCAUAAAACCGUUCGUAGUCCGGAUUGGAGUCUGCAACUCGACUCCAUG